CAAAUCCUUGUAAGGGGCGGACCAUUAGAAAAGUGAGGGGGGGGGGACAAAAAUAAAAUUCGAGCUGGGAAAAUAGAAAGAAAAAAAAAAUUUGUGCACCAGAAAUGUCUGAAAAAAAAUUCGUGCAGAGACUUUUCAUUAGGGAAAAUUACAGGACCUAUCGGAGGUACAGUGUAAGGGUGUCCCCUAAAUUUCGAAAAUAAGCGUUUUCAUCGUGUUUUAAGAAGUUUUUUGGGGGAAAAUGUGUUUUAAACCUUAAUUGAAAUGAUGUUAGCCCGA